GCCAGCUGCCCCCCUGCUCCGCCGUGCGCCCUGCGCCCCAGCCCGCCUGGUGCGCUCCAGCCGGGCUCCUCUCCCCGGGGCGCACGGUCCAUGCCUUGCCAUGUCCGGCCGCGCCGGGCGUCCCACCGGCUCCGCGCCUGCAGCGCUGCAGGAGGGAGCUGGAAGGUGGCGAUCCAGGAGCCGGAGCGGAGCGAGAUUAUAAAAGGAGGACACGGGCUGGAGCAGAGGGACAGCGCCUGCUCCCGGAGACCUCGCUUCGCAGGCUGGGAGACCUUGGCUUCCUCCCAACUCCUUCUCCUUGACAAGAGCAUCUGAAAACAGCCCAGCGCCUUGCUCCCAACCCGCAGAAGGGAGCAUGCCUGGGACAGCUGGGCCAGGGAGGAAUUAAAAGCCCCAGGAUGGUGCUGUGGGCAUGUCCUCAUAUCUUCCUUCAGGUAUUUAUCCUCUGGAUUAGCCCCACCUCGGCUUCCAUCCAGGAUCAAUACUGUGAGAAUUUACCUCCAAGCAGUAACACCACUGGU